AAUCAACGCUGGCGGCGUGCCUCAGACAUGCAAGUCGAACGAUUAAAGCUCUCUUCGGAGAGUGCAUAAAGUGGCGCACGGGUGAGUAACACGUAAGUAAUCUACCUUCGAGUGGGGAAUAACGUCCGGAAACGGACGCUAAUACCGCAUAAUGCAGCGGCAUCGCAAGAUGACAGUUGUUAAAGGAGCAAUUCGCUUGAAGAGGAGCUUGCGGCAGAUUAGCUAGUUGGUAAGGUAACGGCUUACCAAGGCUACGAUCUGUAACCGGUCUAAGAGGACGGUCGGUCACACUGACACUGAAUAACGGGUCAGACUCCUACGGGAGGCAGCAGUCGGGAAUUUUGGGCAAUGGGCGAAAGCCUGACCCAGCAACGCCGCGUGAAGGAUGAAGUAUUUCGGUAUGUAAACUUCGAAAGAAUAGGAAGAAUAAAUGACGUUACUAUUUAUAAGGUCCGGCUAACUACGUGCCAGCCGCCGCUGU
rnacentral:rRNA from 1 species